CUUUCUGUGUAAGCUGUGAGCGUAGGCGGCCCUGAGGGGGUGUGUUGCAGGGGUUUCCAAGCCCAGCACCAGCACCCUUGCCCUUUUCCAUCAGGGGUUCAGCCUAGGGUCCCCGCUGGUGGGCGGCUCCCGAGUCUUGGAGAAGAGCACGAGAACCUAGACCGCCCCCGAAGUGCGGAGACCCCCUGGGCAGGCUGAAAGAUGGCGGCGGCGUCUGUCUCUGCGGCUUCUGGUUCUCACUUGUCGACCAGAGGCUGGGCUCUGGAUUACAGCUCAGUAGUGGGUCAUGGAAUAUGUACUGUGACUCAACCCGUAUCAUUUUCAAGAAAGAAGAGAGAGAAAAUCGUUCAGCAAAUAUAACUGAAUGAAUUAUCUGGUUCACAGAAACAGCUUUGCUGAGCCAUCAAGGUCUAAUGGAAGCAUGGUUCGGCAUUCUUCAUCUCCAUAUGUAGUAUAUCCUUCGGAUAAGCCUUUCCUUAAUAGUGAUCUACGACGCUCCCCAAGUAAGCCUACACUUGCCUAUCCAGAAAGCAACAGCAGAGCCAUAUUUUCUGCUCUUAAGAAUCUUCAAGAUAAGAUUCGACGCUUGG
rnacentral:lncRNA from 10 species